AGAACGAACGCUGGCGGCGCGCUUAACGACAUGCAAGUCGAACGGGUGGGUUUCGGCCCACCAGUGGCGGACGGGUGAGUAACGCGUGGGAACCUGCCCUGAGGUUCGGGACAACCGCGGGAAACUGCGGCUAAUACCGGAUGUGGCCGAGAGGCCAAAGAUUUAUCGCCUUGGGAUGGGCCCGCGUCGGAUUAGGUAGUUGGUGGGGUAACGGCCUACCAAGCCUGCGAUCCGUAGCCGGCCUGAGAGGGUGGUCGGCCACACUGGGACUGAGACACGGCCCAGACUCCUACGGGAGGCAGCAGUGGGGAAUCUUGGACAAUGGGCGCAAGCCUGAUCAAGCGACGCCGCGUGGGUGAUGAAGGCCUUCGGGUUGUAAAGCCCUUUGCCGGGGACGAUGAUGACGGUACCCGGAGAAUAAGGACCGGCUAACUCCGCGCCAGCAGCCGC
rnacentral:rRNA from 1 species